UACGUAGGGUGCAAGCGUUGUCCGGAAUUAUUGGGCGUAAAGAGCUUGUAGGCGGUUUGUCGCGUCUGCUGUGAAAUUUCGGGGCUCAACCCCGAACUUGCAGUGGGUACGGGCAGACUAGAGUGUGGUAGGGGAGACUGGAAUUCCUGGUGUAGCGGUGAAAUGCGUUGAUAUCGAUAGGAACUCCGGUGGCGAAGGCGGCAUACUGGGCCGCUUCUGACGCUGAUGCGCGAAAGCCAGGGGAGCGAACGGG
rnacentral:rRNA from 1 species